GGGGCUGCCCCGGUUUCGACGUGGGUUCGGAAUCGGCGUGGUGCAUGUCGAGCUUGAGUGACGCUCGUAAAUCUCCAUUCAAAAAACUAACUGCAAACGACGAACGUUUCGCACUCGCCGCUUAAAUACCGGUGAGCUUUGCAACAGCACGCUGAUGGGCUGGGCAAGGGGGUAGCAAUACCUCCCGGCUGCAAAGGAAUUCACAUCAGCUGGUCGUGCACCGGGCUCCUUGGUGCAUGGCGAGAUCCAAGGGAGCUGGCUUUCACUGAAGCGUGCGCCUGCGCGUCUUUGAAGGCGAGACUCAAAUCAGAACGCUAAACAUGUAGAUCUGCCCGAAGAAGGCUUGCGGACGCGGGUUCAAUUCCCGCCAGCUCCACCA
rnacentral:tmRNA from 1 species